rnacentral:rRNA from 1 species
UGCAGCAGAGCAGGUAUCAGGCUCAACAACGUUAGCCCACAACACCUUGCCAAGCCACAUCCCCACGGAUAACACAGCAGUGACUAACAUUAGGCAAUAAGCAUAUCAAGCUUGACCUAGCCAAAAUUUCUCCGGUCGGCAAAUUUCGUGCCAGCAGCCGCGGUUACACGGAAGACCAAAGAUAGCAGACCAACGGCGUAAAGAGUGAUCAAAGAUUUUCCCCCCACCUAAUGCCCGGAUUACAAAAUUUUGUCUCAGAGAUGAAAUCCCAAGACACCAAGAAUUCUUCAACAUCCACAAACAGGCCAUCCAACUCACGAAAGCUCGGAUACAAANUAGGAUU